rnacentral:lncRNA from 1 species
GCAAAAUAAAAGCUAAGCAAGAGAGCCUUUCAAAACACAUGAAAAUAGCACACACAUACAAAAAAAAAAAGAAUAAAGAGAUGUACAAGUGACACCUCCUCAACCUUCUCACUUGGUAUACAUAUGCACAGUAAAUUAUUUUGGGCUCAGCCAAGCAUGGGAGCAAUUCAAAUAGAUCCAUAUGAUAUUCUCUGAUUAGAAACUCUUGUGGAGUAAGUUGGUGAGUGUAUCUUUGCCUAAAACAGUCAUGUCAAAAUAUAGCUUCCUAUAGCAUAUUUAUUUAGUAUCAUUUUGGUGAAAAAGUG